rnacentral:rRNA from 1 species
UGGGGAAUAUUGGACAAUGGGCGAAAGCCUGAUCCAGCCAUGCCGCGUGUGUGAAGAAGUUCUCUUGGUUGUUAAGCACUUUAAGCGAGGAGGAGGGUACUGGUAUUAAUACUACCAGGUACUGGACGUUACUCGCAGAAUAAGCACUGGCUAACUCUGUGCCAGCAGCCGCGGUAAUACAGAGGGUGUGAGCGUUAAUCGGAUUUACUGGGCGUAAAGUGUGCGUAGGCGACUAAUUGAGUCGGAUGUGAAAUCCCCGAGCUUAACUUGGGAAUUGCAUUCGAUACUGGUUAGCUAGAGUGUGGGAGAGGAUGGUAGAAUUCCAGGUGUAGCGGUGAAAUGCGUAGAGAUCUGGAGGAAUACCGAUGGCGAAGGCAGCCAUCUGGCCUAACACUGACGCUGAAGUACGAAAGCAUGGGGAGCAAACAGG